CCUACGGGAGGCAGCAGUCGAGAAUCAUUCACAAUGGGGGAAACCCUGAUGGUGCGACGCCGCGUGGGGGAAUGAAGGUCUUCGGAUUGUAAACCCCUGUCAUGUGGGAGCAAAUUAAAAAGAUAGUACCACAAGAGGAAGAGACGGCUAACUCUGUGCCAGCAGCCGCGGUAAUACAGAGGUCUCAAGCGUUGUUGGGAAUCACUGGGCGUAAAGCGUGCGUAGGCUGUUUCGUAAGUCGUGUGUGAAAGGCGCGGGCUAAACGCGCGGACGGCACAUGAUACUGCGAGACUGGAGUAGUGGAGGGGGAGCCGGAAUGCUUGGUGUAGCAGUGAAAUGCGUAGAUAUCGAGAGGAACACUCGUGGCGAAGGCGGGUUCCUGGACAUUAACUGACGCUGAGGCACGAAGGCCAGGGGAGCGAAAGGGAUUAGAUACCCCUGUAGUC
rnacentral:rRNA from 1 species